AAGCUUUGUUCGAUAUAGCAAUCUUGGUUACAGCCAUUAUCAUUCAGGGCUUGGUACAUAUUACAAGUAAUUCUGGUUUUUAGAGUUUAUUCUUCUAAUAAUUAGAAGAAAGUCUAAUUGUCUUACCUCUAAAUAUGAUGUGCCAUUCUUCUCUUGCAACUUUUAAAAUGCUAUCCUUUUUCAGUAUAUUAGACAUUUCAAUUAUAAUAUGUGUAUAGAGGAUAUUUUAGGGGAUAUUUUUUAUUUUAUCUAUUUCGGGUUCUAAAUGCCUCUUGUAUUUGGAUUUCCAUCUUAUACCUAUGGUUUGGAAAAUUUGCUGAGGUCAUUUCACUGAAAAGUUGUGAAUUCCUUUGGUUUAUAUCUCAGUGCCUUCUUAUAAGCCAGUGAUUCUUAUAGUUGGUCUCUUGAUAUUAUCUCAAGUUUUUUGAAUAUUCUGUUUAUGGUCUUAUUAUUUUCUUUUCUUUGUUGCUGGUUUUGUUUUUGAGAUUAUAUACUAUGUACUCG
rnacentral:lncRNA from 1 species